CCUACGGGGGGCAGCAGUGAGGAAUAUUGGUCAAUGGGCGCGAGCCUGAACCAGCCAAGUAGCGUGAAGGAUGACUGCCCUACGGGUUGUAAACUUCUUUUAUAAAGGAAUACAGUGAGGCUCGUGUGCCUUUUUGUAUGUACUUUAUGAAUAAGGAUCGGCUAACUCAGUGCCAGCAGCCGCGGUAAUACGGAGGAUCCGAGCGUUAUCCGGAUUUAUUGGGUUUAAAGGGAGCGUAGAUGGGUUGUUAAGUCAGUUGUGAAAGUUUGGGGCUCAACCGUAAAAUUGCAAUUGAUACUGGCAGUCUUGAGUACAGUUGAGGUAGGCGGAAUUCGAGGUGUAGCGGUGAAAUGCUUAGAUAUCACGAAGAACUCCGAUUGCGAAGGCAGCUUACUAAACUGCCACUGACAUUGAGGCUCGAAAGUGUGGGUAGCAAACAGGAUUAGAUACCCCAGUAGUC
rnacentral:rRNA from 1 species